rnacentral:tRNA from 1 species
GGAGAGAUGACCGAGUGGCUGAAGGUGCACGCCUGGAAAGCGUGUGUGCCUGUAAGGGCACCGAGGGUUCGAAUCCCUCUCUCUCCGCCA